AUGCUGCCCCCGGUGAUCCCAUCGCGUCGGACGAGUGCACGGCCGGACAGGGAUUAUGCCUCCGGAACCCCGUCCUUCGAGAUCCUAGAUCGGGAGAGGGCGAUAAGGUUUUUGGGGAGCGUCUCGGCGCGACUACUCCUGAUCCGUCCCCAUCUCCGUCCUCUUCUUCGACUACUUCCCCGACCACGACCCAUGGCUGAAGACGACGCUGCCAAGAAGAAGGCCGCAGAAGAGGUCGAAGCCAUUGCGUCCGCUGCGGCCUUUCAUGGCCUACCGGAGGGCACGUGCUCAAAUGUUUAG
rnacentral:rRNA from 1 species